rnacentral:rRNA from 1 species
CAGAUUGAAUAUACCCGAUCUCGUCUGAUCUCGGAAGUCAAGCAAUCUCGGGCUUGGUUAGUACUUGGAUGGGUGACCGCUUGAGAAUACCAAGUGUGAUAAGCA